rnacentral:rRNA from 1 species
AGAGUUUGAUCAUGGCUCAGGAUGAACGCUAGCUACAGGCUUAACACAUGCAAGUCGAGGGGCAGCAUGUUGGUUGCUUGCAACCAAUGAUGGCGACCGGCGCACGGGUGAGUAACGCGUAUCCAACCUACCCUUGUCCAUCGGAUAACCCGUCGAAAGGCGGCCUAACACGAUAUGCGGUUCUCAGCAGGCAUCUAACGAGAACGAAAUGUGAAGGAGAAGGAUGGGGAUGCGUCUGAUUAGCUUGUUGGCGGGUAACGGCCACCAAGGCGACGAUCAGUAGGGGUUCCGAGAGGAAGGUCCCCCACAUUGGAACUGAGGCACGGUCCAAACUCCUACGGGAGC